UUCAAUGACUCUCCGUGUUCUUUAAUCACUCAAGACUUAUGUUCUUGAAAGAUCAUAGAAUGCGAAAUGUCCUUGUA